UGUCAUGCCUCCCUCUCUCUCUCUCUCUCUUUUUUUUUUCCUUUUAAUAUUUUCUUUGGAGGGCAGAUUUACUUUUGUAAUUAGAAUUUGCAUUUUUUCCAUUUGGGGUUCGUUGAGAUGUGUGCUUCUUCCUUUGCAUCUGUGCUGCAGAGAACAGUAGCAGCAAAAAGGAGAUAGAAAUUCUACUUUAAAGAAAUUCUGCUUUUUAAAAUUCAAAAGCAAAAAGGGUCACUGGUUACUUUUAUAUGAUUAUUUAUUGGAAUAUCUACUUCCCCUGCUUUGACCAGCAGUGUAAGAUGCUCCUGAUGUUAGGUAUGUAUAGGUUAGGUAUGCAGUGGUGUUUCUCAUUCUUCACUCGUGGCAGAGGAACCUAUAUUCUCAUUUAUCCACCCUGCAAGGAGGUGAAGGUCUUGCUAGGAAGCUUUCCUGUCUUUUCAGUUCCUCCCAUCUGGCUGAGGAAGCCGAAGUCAUCAGGGGGUGUCAAACAAGAAGGGAAGCAGAGAUUUCAGCGAUGUCUGUGUUGGCAGCAGGGUGGGGAAGGGAUUAGUGCUGAGCAUUAGGGAAUCCAGAGUAACGUGUUAAUUGGUAGGUUUGGAUUGAGACUGAAGUUUGUUAGUAAAGUCAGGCAUUACUUAUGUGGUCCUGUUUUAAGGAAUAACAGUCUUAAAGAAGGACAUUGUAAGGGAAGCAUGUCUUGAAGCAGAAGAUUAAUUCACAGCUGGUUUUCAAGCACUCAUUUGAUUUACAGGCUUUUUAAAGCAGAUGCUUUCAUUUAAUUUAGUGCUACAUAUUUUCCACAUUUAUAGCCAAAAUCUCACUGCAGUUUAAGACGCACUCGACUGAAGUGACGCUUCUAAAUCCAGUAGAGCAGUUUUGCUGGAAGUUAACACCACUGAGUUGCAGAGCGUCUGCAGUUAAUGUUAAUUCUUGUACUUCUCUUGUCUUGGGACUGUGAUAUUAAAUAUUUAAAAUGUGUGCCCAGUCUUCUAGGUGAGGGUGUGCGUGCAGUUUGGAAUGCAUUUAAAUAAAUAGUAGCUAUGUUGACCUGCACUCCUACUUGUUUUCCUGUAGCUGGAAGUGAGAACCUAAUUAUGCACAGCGUUUGCAUAAAACAAGGCUUCCUUGUUCACCAGCUGCAUUUCUAAUGCUGGAAGACAAUCAUUAGGAUUUUCUGUUUUGAACUGUGUUGGGAGUAAAGCUAUCCCAGCAGCCUUCAGGGGCCAAAGGGGACAAAAGGCCACACAAGUAAAGCCAAGAGUUGUGGAGUUAAAGCCAUUGAUUCCCCUGGUGCUCGGGCUGUGGGCAGGCAGAGCCGUGGGACCUUCCUGUUGCAGUGGGAUCCUCUCCAGCAUAGCAGUGUGAGUGGAGGUUGUAGAGGAGUUUUCUGGAUUUUCGUGGUGCCAAUGUGCACCUUCAUGAGAUAAAACAAGAUUUUACUCAUCAAUUUUGUUUUUUUCUAUUUGAAAGACAAAGUCCCAUCAGUCUCCUUUGCCUCUGGUCUCCACACUCAGUCUCUGUGCCAGGCACUGGAGCCAACCUUGCAGCAGGGUACUGCUAGACUUGACAGCAGGAGCGAAGGGAGGAGGCCUGAUACACACGUGUCCGGUGAAUUGCCCCUUCUAUUUCCUUGCUGAAAAGUAUUCUUCUUCUUCUACUGAAAAGUAAAGAUGUUUGGUCCUUUUGCCAGUAAUUCAAGUUGCUGCAUUAUUGGGCCAGUGGGGUGCAGUCCCUUCUCUGCUGUAGGUCUGUGCUAGGAAUCGUGCAGUCCAGUGCCAAAUGAAACGUCUAUAUCUCUUUGGCUUUGGCAGCACCUUCUGUUGCACUGAGAUGCUAAAUGCUCACUAGGAGGAAUAAAUACAAGCAACAGCUGCUGCCACUUCUGAAUGUGGCGUUCUGUUCUUGCCAGGUGAGUAAAAUGAGACCAUAUCCAUUUACUGAAAAAAGUAUAUCCAGUCACCAAGGCAGCAGGAACAAUACCGAGCAAACCCUUCCUUUUUACUUCCCAGAGCUACAGCACCGAGAUCAGAGCUGUUCUGUAAAGCAGUAUCCAUUCAGAGCACUGGUAGUACACACUGGUACUGCACAGUGCUGAAUGGUGUGGGUGUGUGCUGCAGUGCCUCAUCCACUGAGUGGGCUGUGGGACACAGAGCCCCACGUUCCACCUGUCACCAUUUCCAGAGGUAGAGGAGUGUGGCAAGGCUUGGCAGAGCUGGGCUGCUUGGAUUCUCAGGGUGCUGACAGGUGGAAAUUUGCCCCUUGCUGAUGCUCUUUAAAGCUCACGUUGGUUUGGAGCAACAGGUUUCUUAUCGUGCCAAGAAUACAGCAGACCGGUUAGGUGUAGGGAACUAAUCCUAACAGAAACCACACUUGACAUUUUUAUCACGUUACGUUGAACUACGUGGGGUUACCCAAUGUGCAAAUCUGUUAAAGACUUCAUGGCUUCCUCUGAAUGUGAAUCAUCCCUUUAAAGCUGGAAUUGAGCCUCUGAGGGCAGGAGCUGCACGCUGCAGCACUCGUUCAGAGAACGGGUCACCUCCUCAUCUUCUUUCCUGACAGCAAAUUGUCUCAAUUCUUCUCAUAUUCCACAGCCUCUCAUUGAGCCCUUUGCACAAACAGCCGUGGUUUGCAGCUGCAGCCCUGAUGCAUUCAGAUUUCUGAAAACUUGGAAAAGGGUACAAGGGAGCACGUGCAGAAUAUUAUUUUACUUCAGAAAUAUUAAAAUUCAUUGUGGUAAGCAUCAAUGAAUCUGCAUUUGGAAACAAAAGGCAACUUUCAGAAGCCAUUGUCCAACUGCCAGGGAUUGCAAUAUGGAAGGUGCGUGGCAGCUGCUUUUUCAGACAAGCACGUGAGUCUGACACAAAGGCAGCAGGAUCUGUACCUGGAAGUAGCAGUGACUGAGGAAAUGGAAAAGGUGGUGGAAGAUGUCUGUCAUACACAUCUGAACCUGUGAGCUCUUAGGCAGGGAUGGAAAUGUCGGCAUCAUCCAGCUUCCAGAGAUCCAAUGCUGCUGUGGUGAGAGCAGCACCCCAGGGUGCUGAGCUCUGCUGAGAGAGCAAUGCUGGGCCUGCUGCUGCACAGCCUGCGUGGGCACGGCCCUUACUAGGGCUUCAAUGAAUGCCUUAGGUUGGAAGGGACCUCAAGGAUCAUGAAGCUCCAACCCCCCUGCUGCAUGCAGGGCCACCAGCCUCCAUAUCUAAUACUAGACCAGGCUGCCCAGGGCCCCAUCCAACCUGGCCUUGGACACCUCCAGGGAUGGACGGGGCAUCCACAGCCUCUCUGGGCAGCUGUUCAGCACCUCACCACUCUCACAGUAAAGAACUUCCCCGACAUCCAACCUAAAUCUUCCCUCCUUCAACUUCGAACCAUUUCCCCUUGUCCUGCUGUUAUCUCCCCUUCCAAAGAGUUGCCUCCCCU
rnacentral:lncRNA from 1 species